rnacentral:rRNA from 1 species
UACGUAGGGUGCAAGCGUUUGUCCGGAAUUAUUGGGCGUAAAGAGCUCGUAGGCGGUGUGUCGCGUCUGCUGUGAAAACUCAGGGCUCAACUCUGAGCUUGCAGUGGGUACGGGCACACUAGAGUGCUGUAGGGGAGACUGGAAUUCCUGGUGUAGCGGUGAAAUGCGCAGAUAUCGGGAGGAACACCGGUGGCGAAGGCGGUUCUCUGGGCCUUACCUGACGCUGAGGAGCGAAAGCGUGGGGAGCGAACAGG